ACGCUCGACACCUACGGGGGGCAGCAGUGGGGAAUAUUGCACAAUGGGGGAAACCCUGAUGCAGCGAUGCCGCGUGAAGGAAGAAGUAUCUCGGUAUGUAAACUUCUAUCAGCAGGGAAGAAAAUGACGGUACCUGACUAAGAAGCCCCGGCUAACUACGUGUCAGCAGCCGCGGUAAUCUGAGCGGGCUGGCAAGGC
rnacentral:rRNA from 1 species